rnacentral:sRNA from 1 species
GCCAGGUGUGGUGGUGCACACCUGUAAUCCCAGCGGCUCAGGAGGCUGAGGCAGACAGAUUGCAAGUUCAAAGUCAGCCUCAG